rnacentral:rRNA from 1 species
GGAUGCUUGUUUGAACCGCAUGGUUCAAACAUAAAAGGUGGCUUCGGCUACCACUUACAGAUGGACCCGCGGCGCAUUAGCUAGUUGGUGAGGUAAUGGCUCACCAAGGCAACGAUGCGUAGCCGACCUGAGAGGGUGAUCGGCCACACUGGGACUGAGACACGGCCCAGACUCCUACGGGAGGCAGCAGUAGGGAAUCUUCCGCAAUGGACGAAAGUCUGACGGAGCAACGCCGCGUGAGUGAUGAAGGUUUUCGGAUCCUAAAGCUCUGUUGUUAGGGAAGA